UUUAUCACUUGAAUGUUGACCGAAUAUGGAUGAAAAGUUGUUUUCUGUUUCCUUUCCUCCACAUUCGGUCAAUGUUCCAGUGAUGAG
rnacentral:pre_miRNA from 13 species